AGUCGAGGGGCAGCGGGGGAGUACAAUACUCCCGCCGGCGACCGGCGCUUGGGUGAGUAACACGUAUGAAACCUGCCCGUAGCAGGGGGAUAAGCGGAAGAAAUUCCGUCUAAUACCGCGUAACAACCCAUGGAGGCAUCUCCGUGGGUUUAAAGGAAGCGAUUCCGGCUACGGAUGGUCAUGCGUCGCAUUAGCUUGUUGGCGGGGUAACGGCCCACCAAGGCGACGAUGCGUAGGGGUUCUGAGAGGAAGGUCCCCCACACUGGUACUGAGACACGGACCAGACUCCUACGGGAGGCAGCAGUGAGGAAUAUUGGUCAAUGGCCGCAGGGCUGAACCAGCCAAGUCGCGUGAGGGAUGACGGUCCUAUGGAUUGUAAACCUCUUUUGUCAGGGAGCAAAGGGCGCCACGUGUGGCGUUUUGCGAGUACCUGAAGAAAAAGCAUCGGCUAACUCCGUGCCAGCAGCCGCGGUAGUACGGAGGAUGCGAGCGUUAUCCGGAUUUAUUGGGUUUAAAGGGUGCGCAGGCGGAAUGUCAAGUCAGCGGUAAAAUUUCGGGGCUCAACCCCGUCGUGCCGUUGAAACUGGCGUUCUUGAGUGAGCGAGAAGUAUGCGGAAUGCGUGGUGUAGCGGUGAAAUGCAUAGAUAUCACGCAGAACUCCGAUUGCGAAGGCAGCAUACCGGCGCUCAACUGACGCUCAUGCACGAAAGCGUGGGUAUCG
rnacentral:rRNA from 1 species